rnacentral:rRNA from 1 species
AUGGCACAAUUAUCUCGCAUCCCGGUGGCUCUUCUCCUCGUCCUAGUCGCCGGGGAGGCAGCCGCCACGCCGUACGCCCGCGGCAGGGACGCCCAGCUGGCCAGCAGCUACAGCCGCGUCUUCAGCUUCGGCGACUCGCUUACCGACACGGGGAACGCGGCCAUCCUCCCGGCCACCGCCGGGGGGCCCUCCUCCCACGCGCCGUACGGGGAGACCUACUUCCACCACCCCAGCGGCCGGGCGUCCGACGGCCGGCUCAUCAUCGACUUCAUCGUGGAGUCGCUGGGGUUGCCGGAACCAGCUCCCUACCUCGCCGGCGAGACCGCGGAUGACUUCCGGCAUGGCGCGAACUUCGCGGUGGGCGGCGCGACGGCGCUCGACCCGGCGUUCUUGAAGAGCAGAGGGAUAGCGACGUUUGUGCCGGUGUCUCUUAGCAACGAGACGAGCUGGUUCAACAAUGUCUUGGAGCUUCUUGCCUCCACGGCGUACGAAGAAGAGAGCGAUAUCAUGGCGACCUCCGUCUUCUACUUCGGAGAGAUCGGAGUAAACGACUACAUCUUCGCGCUAUUCAGCAACCGCACAGCCGAAUUCGCGGCGAGCUUUGUGCCGGACAUCGUCGCCGUCACCCGUUCGGCGCUGAACGCCGUGGUCGCCGCCGGUGCAAGGACGGUGCUGGUGACGGGGAUGAUCCCGCUGGGGUGCGAGCCGGAGCUGCUCGCCCUCUUCCCCGGCGACGCGCACGGGGAGUCCGGCUGCAUCACGGGGUUCAACGAGAUCGCCCAGCUGCACAACCGCGCGCUCAACUGCAUGCUCCGCGAGCUCCGGCGGAGCCACCCCGGCACGACCCUCUUCUACGCGGACAUCUACAGCCCCAUCGCCAACCUCGUCGCGUCGCCCGGCAAAUACGGUUUCGGCGACAGGCCGUUGGCCGCGUUCUGCGGCGGCGGCGCUGGCCCGUACCACUUCGACAUGGCGGCGUUCUGCGGCACUUCGGACUCGACGGCGAGCUCCGACCCGUCCGAGUUCCUCUCGUGGGACGGCAUCCACUUCACCGACGCUGCCAACAGGUUCAUCGCCCAGGCGCUGCUCAGAGGAUUGUAUAACGCGUCGGCGAUGGCAGAGCCACAAACUGCACUGUUCUGA